rnacentral:misc_RNA from 1 species
CCGAGUUUACAACUCCCAAACCCUUGUGAACCUACCUACUUGUUGCUUCGGCGAGAUCAGCCCCGGCGCCCGUAAAACGGGGAACAGGCACCCGCCGGAGGAUCCCUAAACUCUUGUUUUAUAUAGUAUCUUCUGAGUGAGAAAGCAAACAAAUGAAUCA